rnacentral:rRNA from 1 species
AAUAGAUACCCCGGUAGUCCACGCCCUAAACUAUGUCGACUAGUUGUUGGGGGAGUCUGUCCCUCAGUAACGUAGCUAACGCGUGAAGUCGACCGCCUGGGGAGUACGGUCGCAAGAUUAAAACUCAAAGGAAUUGACGGGGACCCGCACAAGCGGUGGAUUAUGUGGAUUAAUUCGAUGCAACGCGAAGAACCUUACCUACCCUUGACAUGCCAGGAACCUCGCAGAGAUGUGAGGGUGCCCGAAAGGGAACCUGGACACAGGUGCUGCAUGGCUGUCGUCAGCUCGUGUCGUGAGAUGUUGGGUUAAGUCCCGCAACGAGCGCAACCCUUGCCAUUAGUUGCUACAUUCAGUUGGGCACUCUAAUGGGACUGCCGGUGACAAACCGGAGGAAGGUGGGGAUGACGUCAAGUCCUCAUGGCCCUUAUGGGUAGGGCUUCACACGUAAUACAAUGGCGCAUACAGAGGCUGCAAACCCGCGAGGGGGAGCCGAAUCCCAAAAAGUGCGUCGUAGUCCGGAUUGUUCUCUGCAACUCGAG